rnacentral:rRNA from 1 species
UACGAAGGGGGCUAGCGUUGUUCGGAAUUACUGGGCGUAAAGCGCACGUAGGCGGCUUUGUAAGUUAGAGGUGAAAGCCCGGGGCUCAACUCCGGAAUUGCCUUUAAGACUGCAUCGCUAGAAUUGUGGAGAGGUAAGUGGAAUUCCGAGUGUAGAGGUGAAAUUCGUAGAUAUUCGGAAGAACACCAGUGGCGAAGGCGACUUACUGGGCACAUAUUGACGCUGAGGUGCGAGAGCGUGGGGAGCAAACAGG